UACGUAGGGUGCGAGCGUUGUCCGGAAUUAUUGGGCGUAAAGAGCUCGUAGGCGGUUUGUCGCGUCGGCCGUGAAAUCUCCACGCUUAACGUGGAGCGUGCGGUCGAUACGGGCAGACUUGAGUUCGGCAGGGGAGACUGGAAUUCCUGGUGUAGCGGUGAAAUGCGCAGAUAUCAGGAGGAGCACCGGUGGCGAAGGCGG
rnacentral:rRNA from 1 species